CCGUGCUAGAUGGGGAGGUAGCGGUGCCCUGUAACUCGCAAUCCGCUGUAGCGAGGUUGAAUUCCUGUUUGAGGUUAUGCUGAUGUGGGGUUUGGUGCUUGUGAACAGUGUUGACGGUCGGGUCCUCCGCAAUGGACACCUGUGAAUCCGGUCAGGUCCGGAAGGAAGCAGCCGUAAGCAGUAACGUUUAUGUGCCGGGGGAGUGCCUGACCCGAGCUGGAAUCAAGAAUACCGCCUGGGUCUCAUCAAUCAAGGGCAGGUGCACGG
rnacentral:SRP_RNA from 1 species